AAAUCUCCCUAAUGUGGCUGGGUUGACUACAUUAACAGAGACAAAGAAACUACAGAUACCGGAAUCCAAAGUAGACAAGCAGGAGGUUGGAAGAACACAGCAAACCAGGCAGCAUCAGGAGGUGGAGAAAUCGACUUUUGGUAUAACCUCUUUCAGGAAUGGAGGUGGUGAUAGGGGAGCUGCAGUUAAAGAGAUUGGAGGACACAGAUUCCCAUAAAAGGAGGGAACAAAAAAAGUACUGGUAGAGGUCUGCUACAACUACAUGCACUCGUCCCCUGGGAGGAAAUGGCGUUUAUAAUCAAGAGUCCAUGGACCUCACCACCCAUUACCCUUAAUCCAACAUUGCCAUUUUGAUUUUCUGUUUCCACACUCAUAUAACCUGACUCCUGGCCAACCUAAAUAUAGCUAGAAGGAAGAGAAAGUUCAAACCAUACUAAAGAUGAGGAAGCAGUCUCACUUGAUCUAACAUUUGUUUGCAUCAGCUCUGAUACUGGUACUGCAUACAGCUUAGAGUGUUUUAUUUCAUUCAUUUUCAGAUUGUGAGCAUCAUAGGCAA